rnacentral:ncRNA from 1 species
GCUUCCAAGGAGCGUUGCAGCGGGCCACACAGUGUCCGUCAGGCUUGGAUGGCGUUUAACCGACCGCAACGACGCUCACCUGAA